GCCAGCUUGGCGCAGUGGUAACGCGUCGCACUUGUAUUUACAAGCUAUGCGAAGAUCGGUCGUUCGAUUCGGCCAGUUGGCA